UGUGUUGCUCAGUGGUAGAACACUUGCCUACCAUGCCUGAGGCCUUGGGUUCAAUUGCCAGCUACACAC
rnacentral:tRNA from 1 species